GCCAAAGCCAGGAGCCUGGAAUUCUAUCCACAUCUCCUAAAUGGAUGGCAGGAGCCCAGACUUUGGAGCCAUUUGCUGCUGCUUUCCAGGCAUAUUAGUGGAGAGCUGGGUCAGAAGCAAAGCAACUAGGAAUUGAACCACAGUCUGAUCUUGCUUCCCACCCACACCGAGUAAUCCUUGUCCUGUCUGUAAGCAAACCGAGUGGAUUAAAUGGAACAACUAGAUUGUAUGAACUACAGCAAAUUGAACAGCUGAUAUACGUAGUACAUGUUGCUGUUGUAGGUAUUGAAGCCAGGAUCAGUUUGACCUUGGAUGACUACAAACAGAAACACCCAUCUUAGGGAAUCGGAUGCAUACCUGCCCUUGGAAAUGCAGCUACAGGAAACCAAGGCAGUGAUUUGGGGACCUGUCUCAGCCUUAGUUUUCAAUGGUUUUAAAUAUUGACAAAGCACCUGAUAUGAGGUAAGUGUUAAACAGAGAUAAGUACUGUGAUUACUCAUUGACUCUGAUACGUGGACAUGUAUGGGAUGCCUUGGGGUAUGUGGGAGGACAACUCCACCUACCCAGCCUCUAGUUCGUGUGAUGCACGCGACCAUUCAGGAAGAGCAACAGGACAGAAAUUGAAGAUCAAUUUAAAAUGACAACACAUGGCAUUAACCACAGAGAAGCAACAACAGCUCCACCUCCAAUUUCUGACUGACUACAGCCACCAGGGAAACCCUCUUCGUGUCAUAACUCCUGUUACAGAGUGAAUGUCCUGGGGACUUCUAUAUUUUUCUGAGCCUGACUCUGAGUGGCCACUGCAGGACACAUUAAUAAACAAAAGUAAACAUUG